GGCGGAUGUAGCCAAGNGGAUCAAGGCA
rnacentral:tRNA from 1 species